rnacentral:rRNA from 1 species
AACGAACGCUGGCGGCAGGCCUAACACAUGCAAGUCGAGCGAGGACUUCGGUUCUAGCGGCGGACGGGUGAGUAACGCGUGGGAAUGUGCCCUUCUCUACGGAAUAGCCCUGGGAAACUGGGAGUAAUACCGUAUACGCCCUAUUGGGGAAAGAUUUAUCGGAGAAGGAUCAGCCCGCGUUGGAUUAGGUAGUUGGUGGGGUAAUGGCCUACCAAGCCGACGAUCCAUAGCUGGUUUGAGAGGAUGAUCAGCCACACUGGGACUGAGACACGGCCCAGACUCCUACGGGAGGCAGCAGUGGGGAAUCUUAGACAAUGGGGGCAACCAUGAUCUAGCCAUGCCGCGUGAGUGAUGAAGGCCUUAGGGUUGUAAAGCUCUUUCAGCUGGGAAGAUAAUGACGGUACCAGCAGAAGAAGCCCCGGCUAACUCCGUG